ANGGAAAUUAACUACCCCUCAAUGA
rnacentral:tRNA from 1 species